ACUUUCCUUGUCAUGGGGCAGAAUGGGAAGCUCAAUGAACGCGUAGUGAGAGUCUCCCUGCUGACACCAUAACAACACAUGAGCACCACCUGAGCUUCGGCUGCGGGACACGGUGCAAUUUUGGAAACU
ensembl:snRNA